rnacentral:lncRNA from 1 species
UCGAUUUUGACAAAUAAUAAUAAUAAUAAUAAUAAUAAUAAUAGUAAUAAUAAUAAUAAUAACAAUAAUAAUAAUAAUAAUCCGCCUCAAUCUGUGUAAACCCUUGGAUAUGUAUGUAUAUGUGAAAAAAGAUUAAUUCAAAGAUGGUUUGGAUCCAAAAUUUGAUGGACAAUGGGUAGUCUUUUCACUUUCCGAAAUCUAGUAAGGAAAAGUUGCACGUAUAGACAUUCCUUUCCACCAGCAACCCAAUUUUCUGUUUGCAUGUCUUAAAAUCAAAGCUAAUAACUCGUUCAUUUUAUUUUUCACCAACCUACUUACCAAACAAUACCGUUUACCACGUGUCAUCCAUAGUGUGAAUUGUGGAUAGUGAUGUCAACGAAGUGGAGUGAGUGAGAGAGGAGGAGUACUCUUCUAGUUUCUUGUUUCUGCUAUCUUAUCCACACUGAGGAAUCCAUUCAACAUAAAAAAAUAAUUAAAAUUAUAUCAUAUUAAAAAAUAAAAAAACUUGAAAUUCAAGCAUAAAAAAUGUAAUAAUAGAAU